rnacentral:rRNA from 1 species
AUCUUUUGAUCCUGGCUCAGGAUGAACGCUAGCUACAGGCUUAACACAUGCAAGUCGAGGGGAAACGACAUCGAAAGCUUGCUUUUGAUGGGCGUCGACCGGCGCACGGGUGAGUAACGCGUAUCCAACCUGCCCACCACUUGGGGAUAACCUUGCGAAAGUAAGACUAAUACCCAAUGAUAUCUCUAGAAGACAUCUGAAAGAGAUUAAAGAUUUAUCGGUGAUGGAUGGGGAUGCGUCUGAUUAGCUUGUUGGCGGGGUAACGGCCCACCAAGGCGACGAUCAGUAGGGGUUCUGAGAGGAAGGUCCCCCACAUUGGAACUGAGACACGGUCCAAACUCCUACGGGAGGCAGCAGUGAGGAAUAUUGGUCAAUGGGCGAGAGCCUGAACCAGCCAAGUAGCGUGCAGGAUGACGGCCCUAUGGGUUGUAAACUGCUUUUAUAAGGGAAUAAAGUGAGUCUCGUGAGACUUUUUGCAUGUACCUUAUGAAUAAGGACCGGCUAAUUCCGUGCCAGCAGCCGCGGUAAUACGGAAGGUCCGGGCGUUAUCCGGAUUUAUUGGGUUUAAAGGGAGCGUAGGCCGGAGAUUAAGCGUGUUGUGAAAUGUAGACGCUCAACGUCUGCACUGCAGCGCGAACUGGUUUCCUUGAGUACGCACAAAGUGGGCGGAAUUCGUGGUGUAGCGGUGAAAUGCUUAGAUAUCACGAAGAACUCCGAUUGCGAAGGCAGCUCACUGGAGCGCAACUGACGCUGAAGCUCGAAAGUGCGGGUAUCGAACAGGAUUAGAUACCCUGGUAGUCCGCACGGUAAACGAUGGAUGCCCGCUGUUGGUCUGAAUAGGUCAGCGGCCAAGCGAAAGCAUUAAGCAUCCCACCUGGGGAGUACGCCGGCAACGGUGAAACUCAAAGGAAUUGACGGGGGCCCGCACAAGCGGAGGAACAUGUGGUUUAAUUCGAUGAUACGCGAGGAACCUUACCCGGGCUUGAAUUGCAGAGGAAGGAUUUGGAGACAAUGACGCCCUUCGGGGCCUCUGUGAAGGUGCUGCA